rnacentral:rRNA from 1 species
GUACGCUAUUCAGAGUUUGAUCCUGGCUCGGAUUGAACGCUGCGGGCAGGCCUAACACAUGCAAGUCGAGCGGAUGACGGGAGCUUGCUCCUUGAUUCAGCGGCGGACGGGUGAGUAAUGCCUAGGAAUCUGCCUGGUAGUGGGGGACAACGUUUCGAAAGGAACGCUAAUACCGCAUACGUCCUACGGGAGAAAGCAGGGGACCUUCGGGCCUUGCGCUAUCAGAUGAGCCUAGGUCGGAUUAGCUAGUUGGUGGGGUAAUGGCUCACCAAGGCGACGAUCCGUAACUGGUCUGAGAGGAUGAUCAGUCACACUGGAACUGAGACACGGUUCAG